AAUAGAUACCCUGGUAGUCCACCCCGUAAACGUUGGGAACUAGUUGUGGGGUCCUUUCCACGGAUUCCGUGACGCAGCUAACGCAUUAAGUUCCCCGCCUGGGGAGUACGGCCGCAAGGCUAAAACUCAAAGGAAUUGACGGGGACCCGCACAAGCGGCGGAGCAUGCGGAUUAAUUCGAUGCAACGCGAAGAACCUUACCAAGGCUUGACAUACACCAGAACACUCUAGAAAUAGGGGACUCUUUGGACACUGGUGAACAGGUGGUGCAUGGUUGUCGUCAGCUCGUGUCGUGAGAUGUUGGGUUAAGUCCCGCAACGAGCGCAACCCUCGUUCUAUGUUGCCAGCACGUAAUGGUGGGAACUCAUGGGAUACUGCCGGGGUCAACUCGGAGGAAGGUGGGGAUGACGUCAAAUCAUCAUGCCCCUUAUGUCUUGGGCUUCACGCAUGCUACAAUGGCCGGUACAAAGGGCUGCAAUACCGUGAGGUGGAGCGAAUCCCAAAAAGCCGGUCCCAGUUCGGAUUGAGGUCUGCAACUCGA
rnacentral:rRNA from 1 species